rnacentral:rRNA from 1 species
AUUGAACGCUGGCGGAAUGCUUUACACAUGCAAGUCGAACGGCAGCACGGGGGCAACCCUGGUGGCGAGUGGCGAACGGGUGAGUAAUACAUCGGAACGUGCCCGGUCGUGGGGGAUAACGUAGCGAAAGUUACGCUAAUACCGCAUACGAUCUGAGGAUGAAAGCGGGGGACCUUCGGGCCUCGCGCGAUCGGAGCGGCCGAUGUCAGAUUAGGUAGUUGGUGGGGUAAAGGCCUACCAAGCCGACGAUCUGUAGCUGGUCUGAGAGGACGACCAGCCACACUGGGACUGAGACACGGCCCAGACUCCUACGGGAGGCAGCAGUGGGGAAUCUUGGACAAUGGGCGCAAGCCUGAUCCAGCCAUUCCGCGUGCAGGACGAAGGCCUUCGGGUUGUAAACUGCUUUUGUAUGGAACGAAAAGGCUCUGGCUAAUACCUGGGGCUCAUGACGGUACCGUAAGAAUAAGCACCGGCUAACUACGUG